AUUGAACGCUGGCGGCAUGCUUUACACAUGCCAGUCGAACGGUAACAGGCCUUCGGGUGCUGACGAGUGGCGCACGGGUGAGUAAUGCAUCGGAACGUACCCAGAGGUGGGGGAUAACGCAGCGAAAGCUGUGCUAAUACCGCAUGUGAUCUGAGGAUGAAAGCGGGGGACCGAGCAGCAAUGUUUGGCCUCGCGCCUUUGGAGCGGCCGAUGUCGGAUUAGCUAGUUGGUGGGGUAAAGGCCUACCAAGGCGACGAUCCGUAGCUGGUCUGAGAGGACGACCAGCCACACUGGGACUGAGACACGGCCCAGACUCCUACGGGAGGCAGCAGUGGGGAAUUUUGGACAAUGGGCGCAAGCCUGAUCCAGCAAUGCCGCGUGCGGGAAGAAGGCCUUCGGGUUGUAAACCGCUUUUGGCAGGAACGAAACGGUGUCCGCUAAUACCGGGCGCUAAUGACGGUACCUGCAGAAUAAGCACCGGCUAACUACGUG
rnacentral:rRNA from 1 species